AUUGAACGCUGGCGGCAGGCCUAACACAUGCAAGUCGAGCGGAGCGGCGGCCGGGUGCGUAAUGCCAAGGAAUCUGCAUGGGAGUGAGGGAUAACGUCCGGUACCGGGCACUAAUGCCGCAUACUAUCAGAUGAGCCUAGGUCGGAUUAGCUUGUGGGUGGGGUAAAGGCCUACAAAGGCGACGAUCCGUAACUGGUCUGAGAGGAUGAUCAGUCACACUGGGACUGAGACACGGUCCAGACUCCUACGGGAGGCAGCAGUGGGGAAUAUUGGACAAUGGGCGAAAGCCUGAUGCAGCCAUGCCGCGUGUGUGAAGAAGGUCUUCGGGUUGUAAAGUACUUUAAGUUGGGAGGCGUUACCAACAGAAUAAGCACCGGCUAACUCCGUGCCAGCAGCCGCGGUAAUAC
rnacentral:rRNA from 1 species